rnacentral:tRNA from 1 species
GCAGCCAUGGCCUACUGGUUAGGACUUCAGGCUUGGACCCAAAGGGUUGCCGGUUCGACCCCCGACUGCUCUCC